GAGAGAGGUAUGAUACAGCAGAAACUGCUAACUUUUGCAUCCGCGGCUAAAUUCCGCGGCUCACUC
rnacentral:tRNA from 1 species